GGGGCUGUAGCUCAGUGGCAGAGCACUCGCCUAGCAAGCGUGACGCACUGGGUUAGAUCCUCAGCACCACUU
rnacentral:tRNA from 1 species